rnacentral:antisense_RNA from 1 species
UGUACGCAAAGAUGGUUGCGGGAUCAAGCGUCGGCGUAUCUAUCACACGCACAUCUCCGCCUCCUGGGGCCCACGUAUCGUAAACGCCAUGCGUUUGCGCCCAGAAAACUAAAGACAGUGAUCCUAAGCCUAACAAAACCAGGUGGUAACCAAGAAUAGUAGUCAUCUUAUCUUUGUCACGCCA